rnacentral:lncRNA from 1 species
AACGUAUUUGAGAUCGCCUCAAAAAGUUUAGCUGCUUAAAUGCCUAAAAUUUAGAGGUUGCAGUUGUUUGUCAUCAGUGCUUGCGACUGUGAUGUAGGAAUAAGUGUUGUUUGGCACAAUUGCAAGAUCACCAUGAUAAGCAUGCUGUCCUCAUUAUGAUGUCUCAUUUAUGGAAGAGACAGGAUUCUGUAACUUUCAAUACAUCUUUACAUGGAAUAUUUCGCAAAAUAAUACCUGAUGAUGCUUUUUUCUUCUUGGUGGGUGAACUAGAAUUCUACUCUACUGUCUGUGGCACUAGCAUAUAUCUAGCUAGGGAUUAGUCGAGAUAUUAGCAUGGAAUAUUUCAAGUACCAACCUCCGAGACACUUGCUUCAUCUACCAGGUGUCCAAUAACAACGAAUCUAAACCUGGACUUUAUCCCUUGCCUGAUCAGAUUUACUAGCAUCUUAUUCAUAAACACGUAUCUAAUCCGAGGAGGAAGACUUGUGAAAGGAAAAGGCACCACGUGGCCAAAUACAAGCGUAUCUUUUUACUCGUCUUCUAUUUGCAAACAUUAGCAAGCAUGCAUAAAUGAUAUCUUAGUCCCCCAUUCUAACCUUCAGAAAUUCUUCGAAGGCCACAGGGGUUUGUAGUUAUCCCUUCUGUAACUGUGCUGGUUGAUGGAAAGUAGAUGGUCAAGACGAGGAAAUUUUUGAUAACCUUAGUCCCCCAUUCUAACUCUCAGUUGAAUCACUACUGGAAACCAUAGAGGAAAAUAUUUUUAUUUUAUUUCUAUGGCUAAAUGAUAUCUUCUCACUUCAUGAUUAAAGAAUUAUGAUAAUCUAAUCAUUGGAACCUUAAACCCCUUAAUUAAUCAUCUUCUGUAUCCACGUAGACAUGCAAUGUAUAUCUCUAGAAAUUAGAUGAGAUCUCUCGAAAUUAGAUGAGUUUUUUUUUUUUUAGGGGGGGAUGUAGGGUAAAAGUAAAUGAUUGAUCCUUUUUUUUUUUGGUCAAACAGUUUCAAUAUAUGAAGCCCGUUUUACCCAGAAUCUAGAGCGGAAGAACAUGGUGUAAUUCUCAACGUCCAUACAUGCAUGAACAUAAAAAACUAAGCUCUUUAAGCCAUGCCCUUUUCUUUUUGCAUCAUCUACGGAAAGGGUGGGACACUACAAGAACAAGUGAUGAUUUUACCUUGUCUUGACCCUAUGGGUUGACAUAUGGAUGCAAUAAUUGGAAAACGACAAUCUCUGGUUUGAUAAAAUCGUAAAUGAACCACCAGCAUCGAAAGGGCAUUGAUCAUCAUUGCCUCAAAGAUUAUGUAUGUUGCAGCAAAGUAUCACGGCAUGCCCUAAUUUUCUUGGAUCAAAGUAUCAAACUGUUCUAAACUAUGAUCACAUGACCUUAACUUUCUCUCUUUACAUCAGAACCCAGUAACUUUUUCUCUUUUCUCUCCAACUAAAAAUUGAAAAAUAAAAUUGUAUUGAAAUUGAAUUUUCUAAAACUAAAAGGAUUGAAAUGUUUUUAAUUGAAAAGAAAGAUUAAUUUUAACUUUUUUUUUCAAAUAUGAAAUUGCCAUCCAAUUUCUCCGUCUCUUUCACAGUUUGAAGCAAUUAGUCGCUAAAUUGGCCUUAUAAGACUCAAUUGAGACAAAAAAGUUUGAGAACUAAAAUGAAUAAAAAAAAAAUGCUUCAAUUCAUAGCAAAAUAUGAGAGAAUGAACAAUAAAUUUAGUUACAAUAUUUUACCAACACGUCUUAGUGUUUUGUUCGUAGUAUUGUUAUUUCUAAAAUUCUUCGCUUUAAAAAAGUCAUUAUUAUAAAAAAGUUGAUGAGAACAUUUUACACAUAAAGAAAUAAAUAAAUUUAAGGUCACAACAUAUUUGAUAUACAAUGCUAGCCCUAUUUGUACCUUAACUUGAAUAAACUUUAAUGUGAGAAAAUCACUAGAUUCCAAUGUAGAAAGUAAAGUUGUCAGUCGACACUAAUUUCUACCACCAAAACACUAGUUCUUUAUGUCAAUGUGUUCCAUUAGAUGAGAAAAGUUUUUGGGUUUUAGGUUGUUUUUUGUUUGUUUUUGAACCAUUUUUUUAGGUUGUUUGAACGCAUAAAUGUGUUUUAGGUCUAUACUAGAUGUUAUGCCCUCGCGAUGUCGCGAGCUUGUGGCAUGUUUGUGCGUUGUUGUAGAUUUGUGGAAAAAAUAUGUGGAGAAAAGCUGUUGCAAUUCACACUAUUUUCAAGGAAAAAAUUACAAAGCUAAAUUUUUAACUAAAUUAAUAUUUAAAAAAAUAAAAUGAACAAAGAAAAUUUUAGAAAAAAUCAUAACAAAAAAAAAAGAAAAGAAAAAAAAACCAUGCAGGGAAACACUGUAGUAAUCUAUAGUGUUUCAUGAGAAAAUCUACAGUUAUAAUUCUCAAUCAGUUCAAUAUUAAAUAUAAUAAAAUCAAUAAAGAUAAUUUUAAAAAAAUCAUAACAAAAAAAAAAAAUCAUGUGGGGGAACACUAUAACAAUCCACAGUGUUUUAAAGAAAAAACUACGAAGCUAAAUUCUCAACCAAAUCAAUAUAAAAAAAAUCAUAAAAAAAACCAUGUGGGGAAAUACUAUUGCAAUCCACAGUGUUUUUUUUUUAAAAAAAAAACUAUAAAGCUAAAUUUUCAACCAGUUCCAUAUUAAAAAAAAAAUCAACAAAAACAAUUUUGAAAAAAAACACAAAAAACUGAAAAAAAAAAAGAAGAAGAAGAAGACAAUUUUGGAAGAAAAUGGAAAAAAAAAUGUGAGGGAAAGUUAAAGUUUAGUUCUUAACCAGUUCAAUAUUAAAAAAAAAAUUCGAUAAAGAUAAUUUUGAAAAAAAACAUGUAGGGAAACAUUGUAGCAAAACAAAAACCAUGUGGGGAAAUAUUGUAGCAAUCCAAAGUGUUUUAAAGAAAAGAACUAUGAAGAAAAAUCAACAAAGACCAUUUUGAAAAAAAAAAGAAAAAAAUUCAUAAAAAAAAAAACAAAGCCGUGUAGGGAAACAUUGUAAUAAUCUAUAAUGUUUUUUUUAAAAAAACUAUAUAAUUAAAAUUUUAACCAGUGCAAUAUUAAAAAAAACCAACAAAGAUAAUUUUGAAAAAAAACACAAAAACAAAAAAGAAGAAGACAAUCUCGGGAAAAAAACAUGUAAAGCCCAAAAAAGGGAAAAAAAAUGUGGGGAAAAAAAGAAAGAAUUUAUUAUUUUAAUUUUUGAGUUAGAUUAGCUUAAAAAGAAUUUACGAGGACCGAAGCAUAUCCAAUCAUGGCCUCCGAGCCAUGACCGAGUGUGCUUGUUGGUUUUUAAAAAAUUUCUUUAAAAUCCAAAAUUGAUGCCAUAUCCAGGACUUGGAAGUGAAUACAAUUUAAAUGAUGCCAGAGCCCACCACCAAGAAUUUAAGUAUUAACACGGUAGCCCAUAUCUUGUUUCGGGCCUAGUGUGUGUGUGUACCACUAGAUUUUUCAUUCAAGAGAACAGGUUUACUGGACCAGAUAGAGCCCAUGUUUCUAACGAUGACAGGCUCUUACAGACUCUCUUAACCAAACUAACUCCAUAUUGGACAGGACAGAACAAAACAAAAGCAUGAUUAGAUUAUUAGACUUUUGAAUGUAAUUAAAAAUCUUUUACUAUUUCCUUACUAAUCUGCGGGCUUGGAGGCAGGUUGUGAGUUGUGACACGCAAGGCGUUGAAUGAUGAAGUUGUCUUUUUGAAAUGAAGGGUGUGUUACAGUAUUAGAAGGAUUUAUCGUUUACUGAAAAGUCUAUAAUUUAGAAGAAUCUAGAUAAAAAAAAUUAGCUGUCUUUCCUAGUUCACUCUACUUAAAGCUUAAGCUGUCUGUCAUUUCAUUUUUGUUCUAUUUUUAAACAAAUCCUCUGUUUUCUUUUCAUCAGAUCAUCAAAAAAACAUCUAGGUAAAUCUAUCUCCCCCUUUUCUCACAUUAGUUUCCAUUUUACAUGCUUAUUAUUAUUUUUAGUUAUUAUAUUCACUUUUGAAGUUUUUCUGUCCAUAUUUUGAACUAUCCUUUUAUCUAUAAGAACCCUGCCAGUGUGUGCGAGCGCUUCUGUUUUUGGGUUAAGGGUUUUAGGUUCCUUUUAGUGGGUUUUGGCCAUCUGGGUAGCUAUUACUUCGUCAAUCUUUGACUCUCUUAAAUUUAAUAGAUUUGAUCAUUGACUAAUAGAUUCAUUAUAGUAGUUUAUAUAGGGAUUUUUCUUGUCAGUUUUUAAAUGGCUAGAUUGAUUCUUCCAUGCAAAAGUUCCUGUCUUGCAAAGACCAGUCUCCUGGGUUUGAUCUCCUCUGCUCCUGUGAUUACUCUCAUCCUAUUUUCUCGUUGAUUUUUAUAUGCAUAAAUGUUUUUUAUUUGUUGGUGUUAAUUAUUUAAUGAAUGGCUUUGAUUGGUUGUUGGGACUCUCUUAUGUUGUGUUGCAAUGAAUUAUUAGCACCCAGAAGGAGCAUGAAGGCUAUUGAUUUCUGUUGCUGUAAUUUGCACUAGCUUUAUUAACGGUGCUACAUCCUUAAAAGGAUUUGUUUCCACCAGUAAAGGUGUUACCUGUGUUGUUUUAAGUUCAUUGUUCUAUAUGAUUUUGAGAUUUAGCUUCUUGGGUGGUUACUCUCCUUUACUCAUUUAUACUUGUUUUGAACAUUGUUGGUGAUCAUGUAGUAGAUUUUUUGUUGUUUGUUUAUGUAUCUUUUAAUCCAUUCAUUUAUUUCCUGCAGCUUCGAGCUACCGGUAGACCUAGUUGCUUUCAUAGUUCAGUAAGAAAUAUCUCGAAAUACAGAGGAUUCCUCAGCUCAGAGGUUUGCAUAAUUUUUGCACGUGUGACCUUGGAAAUCUGAACGCAAGUUUUUCUAUGAUUAUUUUGGCUUCAACUCAUCGUUGUAUUCCAAGUUCUGCCAAUUGUCCUGACAAAAUUGUUAUCUAGGUUGCCUUUCGAAGGAAGUACCGGUUUUCAUACCCAGCAUUAUAUGUAAGUUAUAAUUCCUUGGUUUCAUCUUGUCUGUCUAAAUACCACUUGCCAGAACAUGCACACACCAUAUCCACACACAUUCACUCAUGCACACGAUAAAGUGUCAUGGCAAAUUGUGUAUUUUUUCCUUGAUUGAUUUGUUUUGCUUGGUGUUUCAUGCAUGUAUAUGACCUUAUUGUGCAUUCCUUGACAUAUUUUCAGAGAGAUAAGCAAGACCGAAGGAGGCUAAUUUGUGCAGUCGCCACAGAACCAUUACCCAAGCAAGUUGAAGAAUCCAAAAUGGACGCACCAAAAGAAAUCUUUCUCAAGGAUUAUAAGUUGCCUGACUACUACUUUGAUUCGGUAUGCAAAAACUUAGUCGAGUUUGGAAUAUUGACAUCUAGGACUCUGAAUUUCUUUCUUUGGCUUUCACUUAUCCUCAUAUUAUAUCCUUAUCUUAGGUGGAUUUGACAUUUUUGCUGGGUGAAGAGAAAACAAUUGUUAGUUCGAAAAUAACUGUUUUACCUAGAGUUGAAGGUAACUAUUAAGGCCAUUCUUUGCUCAUAGAAUUUGAUCAGACAUCUGUAGGAAAUGUGCAAAUGUUGUUCUUACAAUGGCAGUUCAUACCAUAGCACUGGCUAAUCGAACACUAUUGUUGAAUAGGUUCUUCUUCUGCGCUAGUUUUGGAUGGAGCAGACCUGAAACUGCUUUCAGUUAAAGUCAAUGGUGAGGAACUGAAGGUAUGUUUAUUUCACUCUUCCAGAUGUUGGCUUAGCAUGUGGAUUUUUCCUCUUAACUAUAUUGGAAAGCUUUUUUUUUGGAUCGUGAUAUUUGUCUACACUCUUUCCUAUAGGAGGUUUUGAUAAUGUUAUACGUUUUCCUCUUUUUGCAUUUUAUUAGUCCAAGGAUGCUCACACCCAAUUAGAACAUUUGCCAUUUUGUGAUGUUUGGCACUUUAUUCUUUUUUCUUUCCUCAUCUCUCUCUGGUUUUUUUCCUCUUCUUUCUCUCUUCUUUCCUUUUUUGGGGCAGGGAGGGUUUAAGAUAAUUUGGUGAUGAUUUAACACAACUUUUUUUUGUGCUUUUCUUUUUUCCAGAAUGGAGAUUAUCAUUUGGAAUCACGCCAUUUAACAAUCCUAUCACCACCUUCUGGUAAAUUUAAGUUGGAAAUUGUUACUGAGAUAUAUCCCCAGAAGAACACAUCAUUGGAGGUACAACAUAUUUUGUCUCGUCCUUUUCACAGAUGCUUCAUGUGACUGUUUGCUAGAUUUGAAGUUGCACUAUCCUUUUUCUCUUUAGGGACUUUACAAGUCAUCUGGGAAUUUCUGCACUCAAUGUGAAGCAGAGGGUUUCCGCAAAAUUACAUAUUAUCAGGUUGAUUCAUAGAACCAUUUAAUUCUAUUGAUUCAUACUGCUAAAUACAAGUUUAAAUUAUUUUAUUUUAAUAUGGUAACAGGAUCGCCCUGAUAUAAUGGCAAAAUACACUGUCCGAAUUGAAGCUGAUAAAUCUUUGUACCCAGUAUUGCUAUCUAAUGGAAAUCUCUUGGAACAAGGAGACCUUGAGGUGAAUUUACCUGUUAUGUAGAAUAGCCUCCCCCAUCCACAAAAAAAAAUAAAAAUAAAAUUAAUCACCAUUGAAUGUCUGCUUCUCUGGUUCUGUUGCAGGGUGGUAAGCAUUAUGUUCUCUGGGAGGAUCCCUUCAAGAAACCUUGCUAUUUGUUUGCAUUGGUUGCUGGACAUCUGGAGAGCAGAGAUGACACUUUUGUUACCCGUUCUGGUCGAAAUGUGUCACUAAGAAUUUGGACCCCUGCACAAGAUGUACCCAAGACAGCACAUGCCAUGUAUUCACUUAAAGCAGCAAUGAAAUGGGAUGAGGAUGUUAGUAUCUUCCUAUCUAACCCAUUAUUUAAAAAUAACAUCAAACCUAACUUUUGGGUUUUAGUGUUAAAAGUCUUACCAUUUUAUCAUGCAACUCUGCAAACAGGUUUUUGGUCUUGAAUAUGACCUAGAUCUCUUUAACAUUGUUGCUGUCCCUGAUUUUAACAUGUAAGUUACAUUCUUUGUUUAGUAAAACGUGCUCAUAUAAUAGCCCUUUAUCUUGUUUGAUCUGUAUAAUGGUGACAAAUACUGUUAUUUUCAUGCACUUAAGACAACACUACCUUGUUUCUGAUUGAUUGUCAGGGGAGCCAUGGAGAACAAAAGUUUGAAUGUAUGUCAUCUAACUUUUCUCGAGUUCAUCAUCAUUUAUAUUUGUUUAUUUUAUCUUCUUAUUAACACCAAAAGCAAAUUGAUCUUAUCUAUUUGGAUUUCCUUUUGGCAGAUUUUCAAUUCCCAGCUUGUUUUGGCAUCCCCAGAAACUGCUUCAGAUGCAGAUUAUGCUGCUAUUCUUGGGGUUAUUGGCCAUGAGGUUUGUUAUGAUAUAACAAAAGGAGCAUAUUUUUUCAAUACCUUUUGUAUGAUUCGAGGAAUGUAUUGUUUUGACUUGAAUUUUGUCUUGUUUCUAUCUGCAGUAUUUCCACAACUGGACAGGCAACAGGUUGUAAGUCCUCCCGUUUUUAUCCUGUCUUUAUGCCUGUGUUAUGCAUUCUAUUUUUAUAUGCAGAGAAAUAAGAUCUGUUUUGUUGCAGUAUGUUUGUAGUGGAUUUGUUGUUCUAGUGGUCAUGGAGAUGAAUGUAUUUUUUAUUGCUUUUGUAUUAUUGUGAAUUACAGUACGUAUAGAAACUUUAAUUAAGUGAUAUCUGAAUAAAUGCAGGGUGACUUGUCGUGACUGGUUCCAGCUCAGUUUAAAGGAAGGUCUAACUGUAUUUCGUGAUCAGGUAGAACUCUUUUCUUUCCUAUAUAACGAGUGCAAUUUCAUAGUCACAUUAGUACCUUUAUUUAUUCUUGAAAAUCUUCGACAUUGCUAGGAGUUUUCAUCUGAUAUGGGAAGCCGCACUGUGAAGAGGAUCUCUGAUGUUUCAAAGCUUCGAAUUUCUCAGUUCCCACAGGUUCUUUCUUGUCCCUUUACACAAUUUUUGAAGUGAUGUCUUAAGUAUUAAUCUUCAGGUGUUUAAAUUACUUUCACAAUUAUAAGUUGAUACAUGAGUAUGCUUUCUCUAUAAUUUCACAUGGAUUCUGAUACAACAUACUAUAUGCAAGCACUAACAAAGGUAUUUUGUAAUCAUUCAGGAUGCCAGUCCUAUGGCUCAUCCAGUGCGACCACAUUCAUAUAUCAAGGUAUGAAAUCCACUUAUUUAUCAAAGACCUUUUCUGUUAAACUACCUGCUUGCUUUAAACUUAAUUUUUAGUUGUGUACUGUAUUCAAUGUCACUGCUUUUUUAUCCACAGAUGGACAACUUCUACACUGGUUAGUUUCUGUUCUGUAUGACUUAUUCAGUCAAAGCUUCAUGAAACACUUUGCUUUCAAGUGGUUUGGAAUUUGGUCUUUCAACUUUUUUGAUAUUUGGCUGUCUUUUGCAAUGAUGUUGGGUUCAUUCUGAUAUGGGACUUUUCACCGCCAAAAAUUUGCAGUGACGGUAUGGUUUGGAAAUUCGUGGAUGCAUCUUUUAAUUUUGUUCAGUUUUCCUCCUUUCACGAGGCCAGUUACCUAAUUUUUCAUCUUUUGGGUUUUCUUUCUUGUUUUUCUUCGUUGCAGGUGUAUAGAAAGGUAUGAAAGCAUUCUCAUCUUGUGUAUAUGUGUGCAUGUGUGUGGAUAAGGAGCACUGUUGAUGCAUCAAAUUCUUAUUUUUGUGUAUCAGGGAGCGGAAGUUGUCAGGAUGUACAAAACCUUAUUAGGGAGUCAAGGUUUCAGAAAGGUAGAAAAUGAUCCAAACUGAUUCUUGUGUGAUAAUCAGCUAUACCAUAAAACUGUGCAUCCUGGAAAAUUUAACCACAAUUGUAUUUCGUAUUUCAGGGCAUGGAUCUUUAUUUUAAAAGACAUGAUGGUCAAGCUGUGACAUGUGAAGAUUUUUUUGCUGCCAUGCGAGAUGCAAAUGAUGCAGAUUUUGCUAAUUUCUUACAAUGGUAUAGACCUGUCUUUUAUUUUCUUUGAAUUACCCUCUGCUUUUUUAUGCGGACAUUGGAAUGUCAUAAAAUUACAGGUACUCCCAAGCUGGUACACCUCUGGUGAAAGUUACUUCAUCUUAUGAUGCUGAAGCUCAUACUUUCACCUUAAAGUUCAGGUAUACAUGCUAACUUCCUUGCGAGAGGCAUAAUAUUCCUUUAUUAGUCUUGUGGUAUGACUGACAACUCGGAAUCUGGAUAUUCCACAGUCAAGAAGUACCACCAACGCCAGGGCAACCAGUUAAAGAACCCAUGUUCAUUCCUGUGUUGUUAGGGCUGCUGGACACAAGUGGCAAGGACAUGCCACUCUCUUCUGUGUAUCAUGAUGGCGCAUUGAAGUCUAUUGCAAGUGACAGUCAACCAGCCUAUAGUACAAUUCUUAGAGUAACCAAGGUGAGAGCACACUGGUGAACCCAUGCUUGCUUUAUCUUUGCAUGUUUUAGUUUCUCCUAGGAUAUCUUGUUAACUGCAGUUGCUUUCCAAUGCCCUAUUUUUUUAUUGUUUUGCCAGAUUUUUGGUUAUGAAUCAAAAUGGUCUUUUCAGAUUUUUUUUGGUUGGAUAUGUGUUACUAGUUAUUCAUAGGAAUUAGUGGUGUUCCUGGAUCUACUAUAAAGAUGUUAGUAGUUGUGGUUGAUGUUAGUUAGUAGUUAUAUGAUGCUUUUAUUGUGAUUUUUAUUUAUUUGAGAUUAAAAGGAAAGGAAUUUAUAUCAUGCAUCACUUUUAUUAAUAAGAAGUGAAUUUACUGCUGAUGCUGCAGAAAGAGGAGGAAUUUGUUUUCUCUGAUAUACUUGAGCGGCCAGUACCUUCUCUAUUGCGGGGUUUCAGCGCUCCAAUCCGCCUUGAAUCUGAUCUCUCUGACAGUGAUCUGUUUUUCCUCCUUGCUCAUGAUUCAGACGAAUUCAACCGGUUUGUCUAUCUCUAAGCACUUGUGCCAUUUUUCUUACUUUAAAGUGACUGAUGGAAAGGUAUUUUAUACUCUUUUUUUUUUUGUUUCAGAUGGGAGGCUGGACAAGUCUUGGCUAGAAAACUGAUGCUCAGCUUAGUCGCUGAUUUCCAACAAGGGAAACCAUUGGUUCUGGACCCAAAGUUUGUGCAAGGGCUAAGAAGCAUACUUAGUGACUCGAACUUGGAUAAGGUAUGGCCAGUGUUUUUACUUCAUCUUCCUCUUGUUUGUGGGGAGGGAGGAGGUAGAAGAUUCAUGCACCAGAGUAGAUAGAAGAUGUAAUGCACUAAUGAGGCUUAAUCUUUUUGUUAUCCAGGAAUUUAUUGCAAAGGCAAUAACACUACCAGGUGAAGGAGAAAUAAUGGACAUGAUGGAAGUUGCAGAUCCUGAUGCUGUUCAUGCUGUUCGAUCUUUCAUCAGGAAGCAGCUUGCAUCUGAACUGAAAGCAGAGUUUUUACGCACAGUAUGGCCAGUUACCCUGGGUUUACUCUAUUUGUACUUAAUGCCUCUACUUCUUGAUUAAUCACUUUGGGUGAAUGAAUUUGUCAUUCUUCACAGGUCGAAAACAAUAGGAGCUCAGAAGAGUAUGUGUUCAACCAUCCUGACAUGGCUAGGCGUGCUCUAAAGAAUAUUGCCCUUGGUCUGUGUUUCUUGUCUUGGUCUUGUGUUUCUUGGCAUCAUGGUAUUUAAAGUUUCUAGAUUAUAGUAACUAAUUUAAGUAGUUACACCUGUCUUUUCCACCAUCUGCAGCAUAUCUUGCAUCACUUGAAGACGAGGAGUUAACUGAGCUUGCAUUGCAUGAGUACAAAGCUGCCACAAAUAUGACCGAUCAAUUUGCAGCUUUGGCAGCCAUAGCCCAAAAUCCUGGGAAAACUUGUGAUGAAGUACUUGCUGACUUCUACUCCAAGUGGCAGGAUGAUUUUUUGGUGAGUCUUUUGCUGAGAGCAAUUCAUUUUACUUGUUUUGUGGUGCCCUGUUUCACAGAGGACAAGUAUAUUUGGAAAACAAUGACUUCCAUGAGGCUAUUAUAUCAUUGGAAGCCAUUUCAAGGACCAGAGCAUUGAAGUAAUUUUGUGAUCUCUUGUUGGAUAAUAUGUUCUCUCUUUCUGUUAGGUUGUGAAUAAAUGGUUUGCCCUUCAAGCCAUGUCUGAUGUUCCCGGUAAUGUUGAGAAUGUUCGGAACCUCCUGAAUCAUCCAGCAUUUGAUCUGCGCAAUCCAAACAAGGUAUGCAAUCAUCAAUAACUGUUUAUGUUUGUUUGUGUGCGCACCUUCAUGUGUCAAUUUCAAAGUUUUGAUUGAGAUUGAACCCUUUGUGUGAUAUGCAGGUACGCUCACUCAUCGGAGGAUUCUGCAGCUCUCCCGUGAAUUUCCAUGCAAAGGACGGUUCAGGCUACAAGUUCUUGGGGGAGAUUGUGGUGCAACUGGACAAAAUUAAUCCUCAGGUUUGUUUCUAUAUUACAUCCAUGGAGUAGGAAGUAACUUGUCGUUAUCACUAUGCACAUGGGAUUGAUCAUCUAUAGUUGCUUGUUCAAUAACCUCCUUGGAUUUCAGGUGGCUUCCCGCAUGGUAUCAGCCUUCUCAAGAUGGAAACGCUAUGAUGAAACCCGGCAAAACCUUGCCAAGGUAAGUAGCUGGUGCCAUUUUUUCUGUGGAUGGAAUAACCAUCCAAAAGCAUUGAUGUUAAUUUGUAUCCAAAUUGGCACGGUUUUUAAUGCAGGCACAGCUGGAGAUGAUCAUGUCUGCCAAUGGACUGUCAGAGAACGUAUUUGAGAUCGCCUCAAAAAGUUUAGCUGCUUAAAUGCCUAAAAUUUGCAGGUUGCAGUUGUUUGUCAUCAGUGCUUGCGACUGUGAUGUAGGAAUAAGUGUGUUUGGAACACUUGCAAGAUCAGCAUGCUGUCCUCAUUAUGAUGUCUCAUCUAUGGAAGAUACAGGAUUCUGUAACUUUCAAUACAUCUUGACAUGGAAUAUUUCGCAAAAUAAUACCCUGAUGAUGCUUUUUUCUUCUUGGUGGGUGAACUAGAAUUCUACUCUACUGUCUGUGGCACUAGCAUAUAUCUAGCUAGGGAUUAGUCGAGAUAUUAG